AUUGAACGCUGGCGGCAUGCCUUACACAUGCAAGUCGAACGGUAGAGGGGGCAACCCCACGAGAGUGGCGAACGGGUGAGUAAAGCAUCGGAACGUGCCCAGUAGUGGGGGAUAGCCCGGCGAAAGCCGGAUUAAUACCGCAUGAGACCUACGGGUGAAAGGGGGGGAUCGCAAGACCUCUCGCUAUUGGAGCGGCCGAUGUCAGAUUAGGUAGUUGGUGGGGUAAAGGCCUACCAAGCCGACGAUCUGUAGCUGGUCUGAGAGGACGACCAGCCACACUGGGACUGAGACACGGCCCAGACUCCUACGGGAGGCAGCAGUGGGGAAUUUUGGACAAUGGGCGCAAGCCUGAUCCAGCCAUGCCGCGUGCGGGAAGAAGGCCUUCGGGUUGUAAACCGCUUUUGUCAGGGAAGAAAUCCUUUGAGCUAAUACCUCGGGGGGAUGACGGUACCUGAAGAAUAAGCACCGGCUAACUACGUGCCAGCCGCCGCCGUAAAAC
rnacentral:rRNA from 1 species